GCCCAAGUGGUGAAAUUGGUAGACGCGCUGGACUCAAAAUCCAGAGGGAUCAAACCCGUGCCGGUUCGAGUCCGGCCUUGGGCACCA
rnacentral:tRNA from 1 species